AUGGGGAGUUCCAGUCGCUACUGCUCCAUUUCCCCUGCAGUCAUCUUCGUCCUUGCCGUCCUGCUGCUCAACCCUGAUCUAGGGUCGUGCGGCUGCUUCAAGCGCAUCUUCUCUUUGGGCGACUCCAUCACCGACACCGGCAACUUCGCAUAUAUCAGCCGCAACAGUCCACCGGGUCCGCCCUCGGUGCCCCCUUAUGGAGAGACCUACUUCCACCGCCCCACGGGUCGUGCCUCCGAUGGGCGUCUCAUCAUCGACUUCUACGGUGAGUACGCACAUACAUGCAUGUGUGUUCCAAGUUCCAACAGUUGGAAUUUCGUGUGCAUGCUCAAUUUGGUGCCUGAUGUUGUGUCAGCGCAAGCGUUGGGCCUGCCGUUGCUGCCGCCGAGCAUUCCCGAGGAGAAGACGGGGAAGUUCUCGACCGGUGCCAACUUCGCCGUGUUUGGCUCUAUUGCGCUCAACCCCAAGUACUUCAUGUCAAGGUAUAACUUCAGUCUGCAGCGCGGGUGCCUCGACGAGCAGCUGGCUUCUUUCAAGAGAGUGCUCGCACGGAUUGCUCCAGGAGAUGCUGCCACCAAGAGUCUCCUGAGCGAAUCCCUAGUCGUCUUCGGCGAGAUUGGUGGCAACGACUACAACUUCUGGUUCUUCGAUCGUACACACAGCCGGGACACGGCCCAGGAGUACAUACCGGACGUGGUUGCCCGCAUAGGCGCCGGUGUCCAAGAGGUGAUCAAGCUUGGUGCUAAGACUGUCCUUGUCCCGGGGAACUUCCCCAUUGGGUGCGUGCCGGUUUACCUCAGAGAUUACAAGAGCAACACGACCACGGACUACGACCAGUUCGGUUGCCUCAAGUGGUUCAACGCAUUCUCCCAGAAGCACAACCAGCUACUGAAACAAGAGAUCAGCAAGCUCAAGUCGCAGAACCCCAGCGUGAAGAUCAUCUACGGCGACUACUAUGGCGCCUUCAUGGAGUUAGUCAAGAAUCCUCUCAGGAAUGGCAUUGACAAGCCUCUGGUGGCAUGUUGUGGUGGCGAUGGCCCGUAUGGCACAGGCCAUGAGUGCAACCAGAAGGCGAAGGUUUGCCGCGACCCAUCUAGGUUCGCCAACUGGGACCAAAUCCACAUGACGGAGAAGGCAUACAAUGUCAUCGCUAAUGGGGUGCUCAACGGCCCGUACGCCGACACCCCGUUGCUCCACACUUGCUAG
rnacentral:rRNA from 1 species